UACGAGGGGGGUAAGCGUUGUUCGGAAUUAUUGGGCGUAAAGGGCGCGUAGGCGGUGCGGUAAGUCACCUGUGAAAUCUCUGGGCUCAACUCAGAGUCUGCAGGCGAAACUGCCGUGCUGGAGUAUGGGAGAGGUGCGUGGAAUUCCCGGUGUAGCGGUGAAAUGCGUAGAUAUUGGGAGGAACACCAGAUGCGAAGGCGGGUCACUGGGCUGAUACUGACGCUGAAGUGCGAAAGCCAGGGGAGCGAACGGG
rnacentral:rRNA from 1 species